UGACCUCAAAUCAGGUAAGAACACCCGCUGAACUUAAGCAUAUCAAUAAGCGGAGGAUAAGAAAAUAACAAUGAUUCCCCUAGUAACUGCGAGUGAAGAGGGAUAAGCUCAAAUUUUAAAUCUGAUGGGUUCUACUUAUCAGAGUUGUAAUUUGAAGAAACGUUUUCUGUGUCUUGUUAACCUAAAUCUUUUGGAACAAGGUAUCAUGGAGGGUGACAGUCCCGUUCAUGGUUAACAUCAAGAUACGUUACGAUACGUUUUCUAAGAGUCGAGUUGUUUGGGAUUGCAGCUCAAAAUGGGAGGUAAAUUUCUCCUAAGGCUAAAUAUUGGCGAGAGACCGAUAGCGAACAAGUACCGUGAGGGAAAGAUGAAAAGGACUUUGAAAAGAGAGUUAAACAGUACGUGAAAUUGUUGAAAGGGAAACGAUUGAAGUCAGUCAUACUAACGGGAAAUCAACCUAUUUGAGUUGUGAAUUUUGGAUUUUGAAGAGUGUAAACCUUCUUGUUCAAAUAUUUGCGCUUGUUGGGCGUAAUUUCUCGUUCGGUAGGUUAACAUCGAUUUUGAAUAUUAUAAAAUGACUGGAGGAAUGUAGUUUCGAUCUCGUAUUGAAGUGUUAUAGCCUUUGGUAGAUGUAAUGAUCAAGAUCGAGGAUUGCAACGAAUACCCUUUGGGCUAUCCGUCUGAUCUCUGAUACGUUGCCUUGGUAACGAAAGCUUGCUUACGGUAUUGAGGUAUAACGGUCAAAAGGUUAGAACGUGAUUACAUUCGUUAAGGAUGUUGACGUAAUGGCUUUAAACGACCCGUCUUGAAACACGGACCAAGGAG
rnacentral:rRNA from 1 species